UAUAGAAUUUGCUCUGUGCCCAGCUUGGGCUAGAAGCUUUACGAACAUUAUAUCAUUGAAUCCUCACUGCAUCCUACAUCUUACUGAGCUGUGUGACCUUGAGCAAGUUACUAGACAUCUCUGGGCCCCAGACUGUUUCUUCUAAAAGUAAAAAUAAGGAAAUAUGCACUGAAGAUUUGGGGGCAAAGGAGUGUCCCAUCUGCACCUUACUCUGGAUGGUUCUGAAGACACUGCCCAGGUGCUCACCUCCAUGAAGAGAGCAGCACAGAGAGAAGGAUACAUGUGCACAUGUGGGGGAUUGGGGCGAAGGGUACCUGAGAAGUCUGCAUUCUUCUUGCAACUUUUUUCUAAAUCUGAAAUUAUGUCAAAAUAUAAUUAGAAGAAAAAAAGAAAGAAAAUGCCUGUUUAGCUCCACUCAUCUCUCAUCUGUGUAGGGGGCCCUCCCCAGUCAUUCAUUCACCCUGAUUUUUUCCAAAGCCUGCGAUGGCCCAUGAGACAGGAACAUGCUAGGGGGACUCUGGAGGUGAAUAAACUCCCACCUCACUCUUUGGGGUUUGCAGAGUGGUGCAUGAGGUGUACACACACACGCACACACAUGCACACGCACACACACACGCGCACACACACAAGCACCCUCUCUACCCUGCGCAGUUUAACUGGGGCCUUCGUGAGUGCAUGACAUACUAACGGUGAUUUCUUCAGAAGAGUUGAUGCAGAAGCAGGAAAAUAUGUCAACAUCAAUAAAUUUUCCUUGAAAAAUAACUGACAUAUCAAAAGGCCCUUUGU